rnacentral:lncRNA from 1 species
UUUAUUUAUUUAUUUAAUAAUUAAAUUAUAACAAUUACAAAGUGAUUGUGAUUUCUCAGCUCACCACCUCACUCUCAAUCCCAAUCCCAAAAAUUCAACAAUGGCCUCCUCCUCCUCCACUCUUGUGCUCUCAACCCUCUUCUCUUCCCAUCCUCACCAAACCCUAAACCCCAACAAGAACAAGAGCCCCUUCUCAUCACAUACAAACAGACCCUUCUCAUCCCUCCCUCACCCUCCAAGUUUCAACCUUUGUGAAACCUAAACAACCCCCUCCCUUUCACAUCCCCUAUAAUCAUCAAAUUCGAUUGUCCCGCCAAUUUCGUGCCUACAUCACCGUCUGAGAU